AGGGAUUCUGGACCUUACACGUGUGCCCUGU
rnacentral:piRNA from 1 species